AUGCGAACAGCGAGCAGGACCUUGAAAAUUGAACAAAACUGAAACUUGUGGAACCUUAUCGUGGGUUUCCAAACCCACGUAAAUCAAUUCCAAAUUACAAGUAAUUCAAACAGGACGCAAGCGAUUGUGUCUGAGUGAUUUACAAGAUUAAACACUUAUAAAGUGAUUUAAUACCAUUUUAUAAAGAGUUUGAUCCUGGCUCAGGACGAACGCUGGCGGCGCGCCUAACACAUGCAAGUCGAACGGAGUUAUUUCGGUUGAAGUUUUCGGAUGGAUACUGGUUUAACUUAGUGGCGAACGGGUGAGUAACGCGUGAGUAACCUGCCCUGGAGUGGGGGACAACAGUUGGAAACGACUGCUAAUACCGCAUAAGCCCACGAUCCGGCAUCGGAUUGAGGGAAAAGGAUUUAUUCGCUUCAGGAUGGACUCGCGUCCAAUUAGCUAGUUGGUGAGGUAACGGCCCACCAAGGCGACGAUUGGUAGCCGGACUGAGAGGUUGAACGGCCACAUUGGGACUGAGACACGGCCCAGACUCCUACGGGAGGCAGCAGUGGGGGAUAUUGCACAAUGGGGGAAACCCUGAUGCAGCGACGCCGCGUGGAGGAAGAAGGUUUUCGGAUUGUAAACUCCUGUCGUUAGGGACGAAUCUUGACGGUACCUAACAAGAAAGCACCGGCUAACUACGUGCCAGCAGCCGCGGUAAAACGUAGGGUGCAAGCGUUGUCCGGAAUUACUGGGUGUAAAGGGAGCGCAGGCGGACCGGCAAGUUGGAAGUGAAAUCUAUGGGCUCAACCCAUAAAUUGCUUUCAAAACUGCUGGCCUUGAGUAGUGCAGAGGUAGGUGGAAUUCCCGGUGUUUCGGU
rnacentral:rRNA from 1 species